rnacentral:rRNA from 1 species
UACGGAGGGGGCCCAGCGUUGUUCGGAAUCAUUGGGCGUAAAGGGCGCGUAGGCGGCCGAUCAAGUCGAACGUGAAAUCCCCCGGCUCAACCGGGGACCGUGCGUCCGAUACUGCUCGGCUCGAGUCCCGGAGAGGGUAGUGGAAUUCCCACGUGUAGCGGUGAAAUAGCGUAGAUACUGGGAGGAACACCGGUGGCGAAGGCGGCUACCUGGACGGGUACUGAC